GCUUGGUUCCUUUUCUCUCAGAGGAUUUGGAAGGUCUUCCCCGCACAAUCGAAGGAGCAGUUUGAGACACAGGGGUGAAAGCUGGGGACAGCAUUAGAGGGACCCACAUUACUUAGAGCUACUGGUUUCCCCCCAGAUAAAAACCCAGGUGUCAUUUCUGCGUGAGCAGUGAGUGACGAGGAGAAUUCGCUUGCAGCCUCUCAGCUACGCUGUGCCUUUAGAGUCCCUCUAGCCACGGCCCCUGUGUUGCCGCUUGCCCCUGGAUACCUGACUGAUGAAGACAGGCUCUGGGGCUCGUCGUUGAAGGUGCUGUGGACCCAGGGGUGCUGUACUUCCGUUGUUCUGUUCAUUGCAACAUUCAUCUCCUGCCUGUUUACAAAAAUGAAACAAUUAUCCUAUUCUUCCAAAUGGAAAUUGCUAAUUUUUGAAGCAGAAGGUUGACAGCUUCAGUAAGAUUUCAAGAGAGCGAGAAGACUGGAAUCAGGGAGCCCUACUCUGGAAGCUGUCAGU
rnacentral:sRNA from 1 species